rnacentral:rRNA from 1 species
CCUCGGAUCAGGUAGGGAUACCCGCUGAACUUAAGCAUAUCAAUAAGCGGAGGAAAAGAAACCAACCGGGAUUGCCUCAGUAACGGCGAGUGAAGCGGCAAGAGCUCAAAUUUGAAAGCUGGCUCCUUCGGGGUCCGCAUUGUAAUUUGCAGAGGAUGCUUCGGGUGCGGCCCCUGUCUAAGUGCCCUGGAACGGGCCGUCAGAGAGGGUGAGAAUCCCGUCUGGGAUGGGGUGUCCGCGCCCGUGUGAAGCUCCUUCGACGAGUCGAGUUGUUUGGGAAUGCAGCUCUAAAUGGGUGGUAAAUUUCAUCUAAAGCUAAAUAUUGGCCGGAGACCGAUAGCGCACAAGUAGAGUGAUCGAAAGAUGAAAAGCACUUUGAAAAGAGAGUUAAACAGCACGUGAAAUUGUUGAAAGGGAAGCGCUUGCGACCAGACUCGCCCGCGGGGUUCAGCCGGCAUUCGUGCCGGUGUACUUCCCCGUGGGCGGGCCAGCGUCGGUUUGGGCGGCCGGUCAGCGGCUCCCGGAAUGUAGCGCCUCUCGGGGCGCCUUAUAGCCGGGGGUGCAGUGCGGCCAGCCUGGACCGAGGAACGCGCUUCGGCACGGACGCUGGCAUAAUGGUCGUAAACGACC